UUGAACGCUGGCGGUAUGCUUAGCACAUGCAAGUCGAACGGUAACAGAGGAAGCUUGCUUCUUGCUGACGAGUGGCGGACGGGUGAGUAACGCGUAGGAAUCUGCCUCAUGGCGGGGGGGAACGCACCGAAAGGCGCGCUAAUACCGCAUAAGCCCUACGGGGGAAAGCGGGGGACCUUCGGGCCUCGCACCAUGAGAGGAGCCUGCGUUAGAUUAGCUAGUUGGUGGGGUAAAGGCCUACCAAGGCGACGAUCUAUAGCUGGUUUGAGAGGAUGAUCAGCCACACUGGGACUGAGACACGGCCCAGACUCCUACGGGAGGCAGCAGUGGGGAAUAUUGGACAAUGGGGGCAACCCUGAUCCAGCAACGCCGCGUGUGUGAAGAAGGCCUGAGGGUUGUAAAGCACUUUCAAUAGGGAAGAAGGGUAGUAUGUUAAUAGCGUAUUAUUUUGACGUUAACUAUACAAGAAGGACCGGCUAACUCUGUGCCAGCAGCCGCGGUAAUACAGAGGGUGCAAGCGUUAAUCGGAAUUACUGGGCUUAAAGCGCGCGUAGGCCGUUUAUUAAGUUGGAUGUGAAAGCCCCGGGCUCAACCUGGGAUGGUCAUUCAAAACUGGUAGACUAGAAUGUGAUAGAGGACAGUGGAAUUCCUAGUGUAGCGGGUGAAAUGCGUAGAGAUCGGAAGGAAUAUCAGUGGUGAAGGCGGCUAUCUGGACCAAUACUGACGCUGAGGUGCGAAAGCGUGGGGAGUAAACAGGAUUAGAUACCCUGGUAGUCCACGCCGUAAACGAUGUCAACUAGCCGUUGGGGGGCUUGUCCCUUUAGUGGGCGCAGUUAAUGCGAUAAGUUGACCGCCUGGGGAGUAUGGCCGUAAGGUUAAAACUCAAAUGAAUUGACGGGGGCCCGCACAAGCGGUGGAGCAUGUGGUUUAAUUCGAUGCAAUGCGAAGAACCUUACCAGGUCUUGACAUCCCGAGAAUUUACUAGAGAUAGUUUAGUGCCUUCGGGAACUCGGUGAUAGGUGCUGCAUGGCUGUCGUCAGCUCGUGUCGUGAGAUGUUGGGUUAAGUCCCGUAACGAGCGCAACCCUUGUCCUUAGUUGCCAGCAUGUAAUGGUGGGAACUCUAAGGAGACUGCCGGUGAUAAACCGGAGGAAGGUGGGGACGACGUCAAGUCAUCAUGGCCCUUACGGCCUGGGCUACACACGUGCUACAAUGGUCGGUACAGAGGGCCGCAAACCCGCGAGGGGGAGCCAAUCCGACAAACCUAGUCGUAGUCCGGAUCGGAGUCUGCAACUCGACUCCGUGAAGUCGGAAUUGCUAGUAAUCGCGAAUCAGAAUGUCGCGGUGAAUACGUUCCCGGGCCUUGUACUCACCGC
rnacentral:rRNA from 1 species